rnacentral:rRNA from 1 species
GUGGGGAAUAUUGCGCAAUGGGGGAAACCCUGACGCAGCGACACCGCGUGAGUGAUGAAGGCCUUCGGGUUGUAAAGCUCUGUCGACUGGGAAAAAAACUUUCAUGCUAACACCAUGAGAGGAUGAUGGUACCAGUAAAGGAAGCACCGGCUAACUCUGUGCCAGCAGCCGCGGUAAUACAGAGGGUGCAAGCGUUGUUCGGAGUUACUGGGCGUAAAGGGCGCGUAGGCGGCUAUUCAAGUCAGAUGUGAAAUCCCCGGGCUUAACCCGGGACGUGCAUUUGAAACUGUAUAGCUAGAGUGCAGUAGAGGUUGGUGGAAUUCCUAGUGUAGAGGUGAAAUUCGUAGAGAUUAGGAGGAACACCGGUGGCGAAGGCGGCCAACUGGGCUGCAACUGACGCUGAGGCGCGAAAGCGUGGGUAGCAAACAGGAUUAGAUACCCGAGUAGUCC